rnacentral:lncRNA from 1 species
CCCCCCUCCCAGUCAAAGAAAAAUCUGUGUACGAUGAGAGGUGUAUCACAGUCGCAGGUUUGAAAUUUAUAUAGACCAUCAAUAUGGUGACCACGAGCUUAUGGCUCGACACAUGAGGUAUUGUCCACUCUUGCCUAUAGACCUUAUAGUUUUAUAUCUCUAGAUUUCAAUCCAAAUAGUGCCUUAUGUGGAAAGGAUGCUCUCU